rnacentral:lncRNA from 1 species
ACUAAAUCAGUUCUCACAAGUGAAAAAUAGAGAUCAUUUUGUUUUGGCAUCAGUGGCGGUGACAGAGAGAGGAGCACAGCAUGGGAACCCCAUGAAAAGCAUGGCAAGGCUGUUCUGGAAUCAAGGAAUAAAAGGCACCAGUGCCAGUUGCCACCUUCCAGUCGCUGGAAUGGGAUGAUCUGGGUAGUUGGGUAGACUUGGAGUUCCAGUUCUAACUUGGAAUUCCUGAACCUACUGCCUCUAUGGUGCUGUUCUACACCCAGCCACUAAUCUGUCCCCUGAGCAGUUACAGGCUUCCUUUCUCCUUUACUUUAAGCUUUCCUCCAGAAGCAGAUGACAAAAUGCAGCACGAAGGCACUGCAGGAUCCUGCUCCCAUGGGUCUGGUGGGCCUCCUAAUGAGCAAGGAAAAUUGCUGAGAAUGAGAUUUUGGUAGCUAAGCCUGUCUUAGUGCUGCAGGCAGCUCCUCUCUGUCAGGCCAACACUGCUGAGCAAAGCCUGCCACUCCCCAGAACCAGUGCUGCAAAGGCUGUGACUCAGAAGAGGAGUCAAGGCCUGGCUGGCCAUGAAAAUUGAAUUGUUUCAUCAUGCCUGAAGCAUGGAGGAGUCCCUCAAAGGUGUGGUGUGGGGAAGAAGAAGAUCUCUGCUACUGGGAAUCUCU